rnacentral:rRNA from 1 species
UACGAAGGGGGCUAGCGUUGCUCGGAAUUACUGGGCGUAAAGCGCACGUAGGCGGCUUGUUAAGUCAGGGGUGAAAGCCUGGAGCUCAACUCCAGAACUGCCUUUGAUACUGACGAGCUUGAGUUCGGGAGAGGUGAGUGGAACUGCGAGUGUAGAGGUGAAAUUCGUAGAUAUUCGCAAGAACACCAGUGGCGAAGGCGGCUCACUGGCCCGAUACUGACGCUGAGGUGCGAAAGCGUGGGGAGCAAACAGG